GCCAAGGAUGAUAGAAUUCAUAUAAUUGAGGUGUUGAUGAUCCAGGACCCUGUUUACAGGGAGAACCUCCUUGGUGAAUCUACAUUCAUAUGAUAUUACUGAAUUUUACUGAGGC